rnacentral:rRNA from 1 species
UACGUAGGGGGGCAAGCGUUUGUCCCGGAAUCAUUGGGCGUAAAGAGCGUGUAGGCGGUUCGGUAAGUCGGCUGUGAAAGUCCAGGGCUCAACCCUGGGAUGCCGGUCGAUACUGCCGGACUAGAGUUCGGAAGAGGCGAGUGGAAUUCCCCGGUGUAGCGGUGAAAUGCGCAGAUAUCGGGGAGGAACACCUAUGGCGAAGGCAGCUCGCUGGGACGUUACUGACGCUGAGACGCGAAAGCGUGGGAGCAAACAGG